GGUGGCUUAGUGGUAGAGCACUUGCCUUGUGUUCAUGAGGCCCUGGGUUCGAUUCCUCAGCACCA
rnacentral:tRNA from 1 species